AUAUGCUUGUCUCAAAGAUUAAGCCAUGCAUGUCUCAGUACAAGCCACAUUAAGGUGAAACCGCGAAAGGCUCAUUAAAUCAGUUAUGGUUCCUUAGAUCGUACCCACAUUUACUUGGAUAACUGUGGUAAUUCUAGAGCUAAUACAUGCAAACAAAGUUCCGACCGGAGACGGGAGGAAUGCUUUUAUUAGAUCAAAACCAAUCGGCGGCGGGUGCGCUCGCGCGCCCGUUCGCCGCUCAACCUGGUGACUCUGAAUAACUUUCGGCUGAUCGCACGGUCCAGCACCGGCGACGCAUCUUUCAAAUGUCUGCCUUAUCAACUGUCGAUGGUAGGUUCUGCGCCUACCAUGGUCGUAACGGGUAACGGGGAAUCAGGGUUCGAUUCCGGAGAGGGAGCCUGAGAAACGGCUACCACAUCCAAGGAAGGCAGCAGGCGCGCAAAUUACCCACUCCCGGCACGGGGAGGUAGUGACGAAAAAUAACGAUACGGGACUCAUCCGAGGCCCCGUAAUCGGAAUGAGUACACUUUAAAUCCUUUAACAAGGAUCAAUUGGAGGGCAAGUCUGGUGCCAGCAGCCGCGGUAAUUCCAGCUCCAAUAGCGUAUAUU
rnacentral:rRNA from 1 species